rnacentral:lncRNA from 1 species
UACCAUUUUCUUGGUAUGGUGUUUCUUGAUUAGAACCCGCGACAAUUCAAGCCCAACCUUAGGCUACCUUCUCGCUACAACUGGCUUCAGAAAAUUCACCUAUGCUGAAAUGAAAAAGGCUACAAAUAGUUUCUCAGAAGAGAUUGGAAGAGGUGCAGGUGGAAUCGUAUACAAAGCCACACUUUCCGAUGGCCGAGUUGCAGCAAUCAAGCGACUCAUUGAUUCUAACCAAGGGGAAGCUGAAUUCCUAGCAGAAGUAAACACCAUUGGAAAGCUUAAUCACAUGAACUUGAUUGAGAUGUGGGGCUACUGUGCGGAGAGAAAGCAUAGGCUUCUGGUGUACGAGUUCAUGGAACAUGGGUCCUUAGCUGAAAACCUUUCCUUUAAAGAACUAGAUUGGAAAAAGAGAUAUGAAAUUGCUGUGGGAACCGCAAGAGGCCUAGCUUAUUUACAUGAAGAAUGCUUGGAAUGGGUUCUUCAUUGUGAUAUAAAGCCUCAGAACAUUCUUAUAGACUCUAAAUACCAGCCUAAAGUGUCAGAUUUUGGCCUGUCUUGGCUGCUAAAUAGAGGUGAUGUCAAGUAUUCAAAAGUCUCAAAGAUCCGAGGAACUAGAGGUUACAUGGCACCUGAAUGGGUCUUCAAUCUGCCCAUCACCUCCAAAGUUGAUGUCUACAGCUAUGGGAUCGUUGUAUUGGAGUUAGUGACGGGAAAAAGCCCUGGAAUGGGAAUCCAUGUGACAGAUGAUGGAAGUACAAAAGAACAAAGAACGUUAGUUGCAUGGAUGAGAGAGAACAUGGAAAGAGCCAAAGAUACAGAAACAUGGAAGCAUGAGAUAAUAGAUCCCAAGCUGAAAGGGAUAUAUGAUGAGGAUGAGAUGCUAAUUUUGGUUACGGUAGCUCUGCGAUGCGUUCAGGAAGAUAAAGACGCAAGACCGACAAUGGGUGAAGUAGUUCAUAUGCUCCUUCCUCAUGAAAGCCAUUGAACCAUGGAGGAAUCAUCUCUUGCUAAACAAAUGAGUUUUUUUUUUUUUUUUGGGGGGGGGGGGGGGAGGAGAGUUACGGGGUAAUAUCAAAUAUUUAAGGUUUAUCUCUUUUAGUGUUUCUUAUAAUGAGGAUCGUUCCUGUUAAAGAAACAAGUUUAGAACUCCGUCCUCUCUACUGCCAUGGACACUCUGAAAGAGGGCUUUCAUGCCCCUAGCUAUAUGGCAAUAACAGUACUCGUGUGUAUAUAUAUAUUGAGAUUGCAAAGAUUGGCUUUCAUGCCCCCUACCUGUGUAGCAAUAACAUUAGACUUGUGUAUAGUUGUUGUUUUUACGAGAUUUUCGAAGAUUUAAUUUUGAUUGAACUAAAAAAUUAAUAUUCUAUCCAUUAAUUACCAAUUGAGGGUUAUAAUUGGUUAUUAUAUUCAACUGGUGAUAUAAUCAAUCAAUGAGUUUGUAGUAUAAUUGAAGCUUAUUUAGGUUAAGAAAGUGGAACUCCGUUGAAUAAAACCGAAAUGAAAAUAAGUUUCAUUUUGAAAAGAAAGUUAAUGUAUUUUCUCCGAAAGUCCAUAAGCCAAUAUGAUGAUCUUCUUUUAAUAUCCGGAUAGAUUUGCCAAGUCUAAUUCCAUUUUCUUGAUAAAAGAAAAAAUAUAUAUUAAUGAAAAUAUACUAUUUUUAAAAUUAUAUAAAGUGUAUUGUUUUCAUCAAAUUUAAUAAAAAAAGUAUUAAUGAAAAUAUAUAUAGAAAAGAUGAUAAAUAGGCUUAGAAUUAUUAUAACGUUAUUUGGUAUAAAAAAAUAAAAAUCUUGCAAUUAGAAACAAUGGACCGGGGACGAUUGAGCAAGCACGAUAUUCAGGAAAUUUUCUUGGUUAAGAGUUUCUGGAUUGGACUUGAUACCAGAAGACAGUACUCACUGCCACGAUAUUCAUUAGCUUAAAUGCCAACAGCGUCAAAACCCCAGGAAGAAGUUAAAAGGAGGAGUUCAUCGAAGCGAUGCUUUCAAUCUUCAAGUCUAUAUUUAAACCUUUCCCAUACGUCGAGGUAAUGGGCAUCGAUGGAUCUAAUUCUUGAAGUUGAAGUGAUAAGUACAAUAAUACAAAAGUAAUAUAUUAUAAUAAAUUUAAAAUAAAAUAUAAUAAUUAAUAAUUUAAAAUAUAUUAAAAUAAAAUAUACUAAAAUUUAUAUAAAAAAUCUUUUAAUGUAGAAGAAAAAAAUUAUAAUUUAUUAAAAAAAAUUUAAUUAUCAAAUAAUUGAUAUAGAAAAUUUUUUUAAUUAAAAUUAAAAUAAUCAACAAAUAGAGAGAUAAUUUGAGAAAUUAGAGAAAUCUCAUCGAUAGGUAACUUAACAAAUAUACCUUAGAUUUAUUCAUAAAGAGUUUCAAACUCGAUUUUUUCUGUUUAGAAUUUAGAAUACUAAAUCAUAAAUUUAUUGAUAAAAUUUCAAUUCAAUCGGAUUACGGAUUAAUUUUCGUUCAACUAACUCUCCUUUCAUUUCUAUUUUUAUUUUUCCUGGCCUCUUUUCUUUCUUUUCGACGCUACCACACUUACUUUUUCACCAAAACCAUAACCCUUUUUUUAUUAUUUAUGGCGUUAUUUUAAGUUAAAAGUCAAAAGGCACAUAGCUUUGAUUGGCUAAAAUAAUGGGCUGGACCCCACACAUUCCUAAUAAUCUCCAUUCUAACUUCAUUAGGAGGAGAUUUAUUACCAUAACAGUUUUAUUUAGAAUUUACUUUGGUCAAAAAACUCAUUCCAAUCAAUUUACUACAAAGCUUAAGGUUUUAUUUGGGAAGUGGCUUAGUCAACUUAUCUGUUAUAUUCUCAUUAGUAUAGACUUUUUUUAAUUGUAUCUAUUGUUUCUCAAUCACUGAAUAUAAUUAAUAAUAUCUAAUAUCAAUGUACUUUGUCAUAGCAUGAUACAUGACAUUCUUACUUAAAUAUAAAGCACUCUUAUUAUCACAAAACAUCAAAUAUUUUUUAUUCAAUCAUAAUUGAAGAAGAAAACGUUUUAUCAAAGCAUUUUUUUACCUAUUUCGGUUGCUAUAAUAUAUUCAGCCUCUAUAGUUGAUAAGAUAACAUAUUUUUAUAACUUAGACUGCCAAGACAUAGUUUUUCCUGUAAAAGUGAACAAACACCCUAAAGUAAAUUUUUUAUCAUUAAGAUCACAUGUCAUGUCAGCAUUAGUAAACCCUUCUAAAACUUGUUGUAAAACUUUAUAACUCAAGUACAUUUUUUAAGUAUCUCUCAAAUAUCUGAAAAUCUAUUUCACUACUUUUCAGUGAACUUUUCUCGGAUUAAAAAAAAUUUGCUCACUAAACCAAUUUCAUGAGCAAUGUCAGGCCAUUUCUAAAUCAUAAGAUAUAUAAAAAAGUCGACUGCAAAAGAAUAAGGAAUAUUAGACAUAGCUAGUUACUCUCCUUUAGUCACCAGAUAAGAUUUUUUACUUAGAUGAAAAUAGUUGAUAAGUGGACUGCUAACCAAUUUAGCAUGUUGCAUGUUGAAUUUAUUAAGCACCUAUUUAACAUAUUUUUUUUGUAAUAACCACAGCUUUCUAGCUCUCUUAUCCUAUAUAAUAUUUAUACUGAUAAUCUAUUUUUUGGACCUAAAUUCUUCAUAUAAAAAAACUUAAACAACUAUUCUUUUAACUUGUGAACCAUACUAACAUCUUAUCUCACAACCAACAUAUCAUCAACAUAUAAUAAAAGAAAAAUGAAGUUACCAUCAGAGAAUUUUUUAACAGAUACAUAAAGAACUGCUGUCAUUUUUUUAUAGCCAUGGCUCACCAUAAAAGAAUCAAACUUUUUGUACCACUAUCGCGUAACUUGUUUCAAGUCAUACAAGCUUUUUUUUCAUUUGCAAUCAGUUUGCAAACUAAGUGCUCUUUUUCUUUCACUUUAAAACUUUAAAACUGAUCCAUAUAAAUGUCUUCCUCAAGUCGCUAUGCAAGAAUGCAAUUUUAACAUCAAGUUGCUGAGGCUCAAGAUUUCAACUAGUUAUUAAUCUCAGUACCACUCGAAUGAAACUCAUCUUCACAAUUGAAAAAAAAAUUUCAUCAAAAUCAAUACUGAAUUUUUAAAAAAAAUCUUUCACCAUCAAUUGAGUUUUGUACCUCACUAGUUUGUUAUCAUUUUUUUUAACUUGAACACCUGUUUAUUUUUUAACGACCUCUUUCCUUUCGAAAGUUUAACAAGAUCAUAUGUACUAUUUUUUUUGUAAUGACUCCAUCUCUUCUUUUAUUGCUUUAACCAUUGCUCUCUAUCCAAAGUAGUUGUACAUAUUGAAAGCUCUCUGGCUUUUUUUUAUUGAUAACUAAAAUAAAAUUUAAACUUACAUAUAUGGUGGAUGACCUGUGCUCUCUGGUAGAUCUCUUCAACUGAGACUCUAUAUUACUUGAUGUCAAAAGUAGCUCUCUUUGUUUAACACUCCAUGGUGGAAAUUACUGUUCACCUUACUCAAAAUUAAUUGCAUAUGGCUCAUCACUAACUAUGACUGGCUCAUUCGUAUCCUCAAGUUUUAUCUUUUACUCAUUUUCACCAUCUGUGACUUUUUUUGGUGAAAUUCUUAUCGAUAUUAAAACAUCACACUUAAUAAUAAUCCAUGUAGCCUUCUCAUUUUUUUCAAAGUCUGCUAUGAUUUUUUUUUAUGAAAUACCACAUCUCUACUUUUGAUUAUCUUUCUCUUAACUGAAUCACAUACCUUGUAAUUAAAUUUCUCAUCACCAUAUCCUACAAACACAUACUAUGUGAUUUUACUGUUAAGCUUUGACCUUUACUCUUUCGGCAUAUGCAUGAAUGUUUUACACCAAAAAAUUUUCAAGUGAGUGUAAAAAGUAUAUUUUUCUAUCCACAUUUUUUUUGGAAUGUCAAAGCCCGAAGAAACUAAUGGUGAUCUGUUAAGCAAAUAACAAGCUGUGUUGAUCGCUUCACCCCAACAUGACUUUGGUAAUUUUGCUAUCCUUAACAUACAUCUGACUUUUUUCACAAUAAUGCGAUUUAUCCUUUCAAUUACAUCAUUAUGCUGUGGUGUUUUAAGUUCUAUCAUCUCAUACCUUAUCUCAAGUUAUGAAUAGUAUUUUUUUAAAGUUUUUGGAUGUGUAUUAUACAUUAUUAUCAGUCCGAAUACAUUUUAAAUAUAACUCUAUCAUCCUUUCCACCAUGGCAUAAAAUUUUUUAAAAUACUGUAAUAUCUUGCUUUUGUUUUUCAAUAUAAACACCUAAUUCUCACAUGAUGCAUCAUCAAUAAAAGUAACAAAAUACUUGCACCAUUCAAUAACUUAACCUUAAUGGGAUCACAUACAUAAGAAUGAACUAAUUUCAAUAUUUUUUCUAAAAAAAAUUCUAUGAUGCUUGUCACACAAAUAAUAAUCACAUGAAUUGAGAGACAUACCUUGGUUAAGGUAAUAAGAGAUUAUUUUAUCAAAACUUGUAACAUUUUCUCACUCAUGUGUACCAGCCCUUUGUGCGACAUAUUUGUUGAAUCAUCAUCCUCAAUGACAUUUAUUUGGUUAUCGUUCAAUUGCAUCCAUGUCUUAUAUAUCAUGUAGCAUAAUUUUUCUCUUGCAACUAUCAUAGAUCCUUUGAAAAGCUUUCACUACCCAUUUUUUUAUCGACUUUCAUAUCUUUCUUUAUUAAGGACAUUAACAGCAAAAAAAAUUCAUUCUCAUAUCUAAAAUAUAUCUAACAUCACUCAAUGUUAAUAUGCAAUAUAUACUAGUUUGCACAAUAAUAUCAUCGAUCCUAAUAAUCUGUGACAUACUCUUAUUUUUCAUCAUGGUGUAACCAAAAUCUCUUACUUUAUAAAUUGUAAAUAAUUUUCUCUUAAGAAUACAAUGAUAUGCCACUUUUGUAUCAACUAUUCACUUAAUGUUGAGAUCACCAGCAUGAUUACAAUCACCAUGGAUACAAAUUAAAGUAACUGAAUCAUUAUUUGAAUUCACUACUGCAAUAUUGUCAUCAUCUGAACUCUAACUUUUCUUAUCUUUUUGCUCUUGUUUCAAUAUUUUGCAAUAUCAUUUUAUAUGAUCUGAUUUACCACAAUGAAAGUACUUCAUUUUAUCUCUAGACUUAGAUCUAUGUUUAAAUUACUACAAUUUUUUUAGUUUUAACUUUUGUGGAUAUUUUUAUCCUUGUUCUCUAUGAUAAGAGCUUGAUUCCUAUAGCCUAAAUCUUUUCGCUUUACUUUUUGAUUAAGCAUACUAUCUUUUACUAUCUCCAAUGUCACUUUGUAAUAAAGAGCUGAAUUAAGAACAGUUACAACUAACGUAUUUCAAUUGUUUGGUAAUGAACCCAAAAGAAACAAUGCCUUCAUUUCAUCAUCUAUAUUAAACUUCAUAGUAAUCAUCCGAUUAAAUAUAUCUUAAAAAUCACUCAAGUACUUUGUAAUCGAUCGUCCAACCUUGUACUGUAAAGUUGUAAGCUUUUUAAUAAGUAUAACUUUAUUCAUAUCUAUUUUUCUCUUAUAUAAUACUAUCAAAUUUUAUAAAUAAUGUGAGUAUCUAUCUCCUACGCUAUAUGAUGAAACACGCUAAUAUUAACCCAUUUUUUUAUUAUGACCAGCAUCUUUUUGCCUCCUUUUUGCCUAAUUUUUUUUUUGCUUUUCUUUUUUCGUAUAUACUGAUUUAGUCGAAUCAUUCAAUAUCGGCUCAUACAAAUCUUAGUAGCAUAAGUGAUCAUCCAUCAUAGGCUUUCAAAUUGAAUAAUUUGAUAAUGUCAAUUUUAUUAUAGAACCUGUAUCACCUUUUAUGAUUUUAAAUAGAAUUUACUUAUGUUCUAAAUUGCUUUUGUAUCAAUAUCUCAAUAUAAUCCUUGUUUUGAUAUCACUUAUUGAGCCUGAAACAACAAAUACAAUAACACAGAAGUAAUAUAUCAUAAUAAACCCAUAGCAACAUAUAACAAUUAAUAAUCCAAAAUAUAAGAAAAAUAAAAUACAUAAAAAUUUGCACGAAAAAUCUUUCAGUGUAAAAAAACGAACCAUUAGAAAAAUUUUCACUAUUAAAUAAUCGAUAUACAAAAUUUUUCUCUAACUAAAAUUAGAGCUAAUCAAUAACUAAAAAAAUAAUUAAAUAAAUUUUAUUAAAUAAAUGACUCAAUAAAUACACCUUAAAUUUAUUUUUAGAAGCUUUAAAUUUGAUUUUUAUCAUUUAAAAUAUAAAAUAUUAAAUCAUAAAUUUAUUAAUAAAAUUUUAAUUUAAUCGAAUUGAUUUUUAAUCAAUUAAUUUUUUUUUAAUUUUUUCGAACUUUUUUUUUUCCACGCUACCACACUUACUUUUUCACCAAAACCACAGGCUUCUUUUAUUAUUUAAAGCUUUAUUUUAAAUUAAAAGUUAAAACCCAUGACUUUUGAUUAGCUAAAACAAUGGACAGGACGCCACACAUUCCUAACACUAAUUUCUUGUGUUGACGGGUAAACUAUUUCAAUUUUUCACUGCAAUUAUUACCACGACCUACCUAGAUAGCGACCUAUGCUACUUGUGAAUUGCUGUGACCCUAAGUACUCUCAUGAUUAAUUCCCUCCCGUUUUUAAGAAGGCUAGAGCUGCGGGUCUUUGCAUAAAUAAGGCUGACAAACUAUGGUUUCAUAAAAACUGAUCGAGUAGCCGUAAACAAUAACUUACUUACGUGCAGAGAAUAGCUUGGCCAGGGGAAAGGUUAUUGGCUUAUUGCACGGUGGCUGCCUCACCGGUGGAGUGGUGGUAUAUUAUUUAUGUUUUGAAGAUAAUAGAAUUAAUUCUAGAAUCCAUGUGAAAUUUUAAUGGCCGUCACAAGAUCGUAUCGACUCUGGAAUUGAGUGUCUUUUGGUCUGUGGCUUUGGUCCACAUUGAGUAUGUGGAAGAGACAGAUACGGCAGUCUAUUUUUGUUCCAUUGUUAUCUUCGUGAAAUUUUAAUGGACGUGAUAAGAUCAUAUCGACUCCGGAACCACAUUGAGAAUGAGGAAGAGACAGGUACGGCAGUCUAUUUCUGUCCAUCGUUAUCUUCGUGGGAAUAAUUUUCUUGUGUAAUAUGGACAUGAAUUAUGAAAGGCAUCACAUAAAGUCAAAAAGUCUUGUCGUGGUAUCAAGAGAAAGCAAGGGCUCCAGUCUAUACGAAAUAAUAAUACUCCAUCAUCCAAGGGUUACAAUUAGAGGGGUUUCGGGUAGGGUCAGGAUGCUUUUCAAAUUCUAUUAGUUCAGUUAUUAUGUUAUAGUGCUAGGGAAUAAAUUAAGGUUGAAGUCAAUGAAAAAAGAGUUAUGUUUGACAUAUAUAUAUAUAUAUAUAUUUUUUUUUUUCAGUAGAAAAAUGAAAAGUAAAAAACAAAAAAAAGAUAAAUAGUAAAAAAUAAAAAAGUACCAAUAAACAAAAGGAACAAAUGUUUCUUUUGUUUUUCUGUCUCUUGUUUAAUGCUUCAUACUUGGUAAAUUUGUACAAUGAAAAGAAACAUUAUAUUUCUUUCUAUCAUUAUAUUUUUAUUUAUUUUAGAUAGCAUGUAUAGAAGCUUGUAAGUGUAAGUAAAAGAAUUAAAAAAUUGUCUUAAAUCUAUUUUUGUGAGUCAGAUUAUGAUAAAUUUAUAAUAUUUAUUUAUUUAUUUAUUUAUUUAUCUCUCCUAUAAUUUUUUUUUUCUGUACACACAAAUGAAAUACAGAUAUAGGGCUCAACUAGACGACCAAACCCAACUCUUUUUUACCCAAAAAUGGACCUAUCAUUAACAGAUUUGGUACCAAGUGCCAACCACCCAAGUAGUUCAAACUCGAACCAGGCCCAAUGGCUAAACCACUUGAGGACAAUGGGAUUGAGUUAAUGGGCCACAUAGAAAAGCAAGAGAUGGGAAUCAGUUUUGGGGUUUAGGCAACAAAGGACGACGUGAAAGUCUAUCCAAGCCACACCAAAAAAACAAAAAAUGGAAGUCAACUUUGCAUCUUAGUCCUUCUAAUUACGAUGAGGAUGAUGUAAGAAUGCUGCUACCAUUCGUGGUAUGGUAGUAAUCGAAUUAUGGCAUUAAAAAUGUAGGGUCGGCGGCACCCAUUUGCCUCUAUAUUCAAUAGUGGCACCUACGAUCCAUCUGUAUCUCUCCCAAUCUCUAUGGCGCACUCAGUUCUCUUUGGUACAAGAAGUAGUUAAGUAUAUACUAUUUUCUUUAAUUCCUUUCUUUCUUUUUAAUUUGCCUGCAAUAAAAUGGUGGACUGAGGACCCGUUUAUUCUUAAUCAUGGGUACCUGACUAGAAUUAGACAAGUUUAAUGUGAACUAAUUUUGGAUAACCCUUUGGCUGGGUGAAAUAGUUCUCCUCCUAGGUAGGAUUAAAAGAAAUUAAACACCUACACUUUCUUGUCUCAUUGGUCUUCAUCUACAUUCAAUUAUUUAUUCGUUCACUUGGAAUUAAUUUUGCUCACAUGCAUUUCUAAUUAAGUUGUCUUGGACCUUCCCUGUCUUGGAGGGUAUUUUUCAUCACAAAUCCAUGGCCAGGACUGUUAUCAUACUCUUUUUAUCUCUUGUUCAAUGCUACCCUUUUUCAUCGGCAUCUUUUGAUAAUCAAAGUGAGGCCUCAUCUCUGUCAAUGGAUUCAAAAGCAGACGUUUUGACUUCAUCAAAUGGAACUUUCAAUGCCGGAUUUUACCCUGUCGAUCAAAACGCAAUAAAAAUAAAAUUAAUUAUUAUAAUGAUGAAAUUAAAAUUAAUAAUAUAAAUAUAUAUUUGAAUGCAAAUGUAAUGGUUGAAGUAAAAUAAAUUGUAAUAAAAAAAUAAAAAAUAUUAAAUUUAAAAUUAUAUAUAAUAAAAAUUUAAAUUAUUUAAUUCUUAUAAAAUUUAAAAAAAUUAUUAAAAAAUAAAUUAUUUUAUGUCAAAUAAUAAUUUAUUAUUAAAUAAUUAAAAAUCAAUAAAAAUAUUAAUAUAUUAGAUAAUAUUUUUUAUUGUAUUAGAUAAUAAUUAAAAUUAUUUCUUGAUAUAAACAUUAACAAAAUUAUUUUAAAAUUUUUAAAUAAAAAAAGAUUGAAAUGUAAGGAUAUUUUUAUUUUUACAAUACAAUUAUAAAGAUACAAAAAUUUAAAUAAAAAGGGAAUGAUAUAUUUACUAACUGCACCAAAAAAAUGGGUGAAAAAAAGGCCAAAUCGUACCUAAUAACGAAAACCAAAUACAAAUUCAAUACAUUUGACACAAUUUUUUUUAUGCAAAAUGCAUCUCCACCGGGGUGCACAUUGCAAUGCAACCGUGCUUAAAUAUCAACAUCAUUAGAAGAUUCUUUGCAGUAUUUCAAAUAACUUUUGUUAGCCCAACAAAACCACACCAAAGGAUAAAUUAAUAAGGCCAGAAAUUGAUAGGUUGGGGCCAUCUAAUAUGGAAGACAUUUAUAAGGUUCGAUAUAGUUUUCAUGUAAAAAAAAAAGGAUAAUUAAAAUACUAUUUAAAAAAUUAUAUUUAAUGUAUUGUUUUCAUCAAAAUCAAUAAAAAAUAAUAUUGAUGAAAAAAUAUAUAGAAAAGAUGAUGAUUAGGCUUAGAAUUAUUAUAACUUUAUUUGGAAUAAAAAAUAAAAUCUAGUACUAGCAGUGCAGUUGAAAUCUUGCAGUUAGAAACAAUGGAGCAGGGACGAUUGAAUAAGCUCGAUAUUUUCUUGGUUAGAGUUUCUGGAUUGGACUUGCUUGAUUUUAGACACCGGAGAAGAUAAUAGUCACUGCCACGAUAUUCAAUUGCUUAAAUGCCAACGGCAUCAAAACCCACCGGAAGAAGUUAAAAGCAGGAGCUCAUCAUUUCAAUAGCAGCAGCUGGAAGUUAUGCUUUCUUCCUUCAAGUCUAUAUUUAAACGUUUCCCAUACGUCGAGAAAACAAAAAAGAAAAAGAGAUAUAUAAAUAAUAAAAAAUUAAAAAAGUACCAAUUACCGAAAGGAAAAAAUGUUUCUUUUUUUCUCCCUUGCUUAAUGCUUGAACUUGAUAAAUUUGGACAAUGAAAAGAAAAACAUUACAUUUCCUUUUAUCAUUAUGCUUUUAUUUAUUUUAGAUAACAUAUAUAGAAGCUUGUAAGUGCGAGUAAAAGAAUUAAAAAAUUGUCUGAGUCAGAUUCAGAUAAAUUCAUGAAUUUUAUUUAUUUAUUUAUUUAUUUAUUUAUUUAUCUCUCGUAUAACUAUUCUCUUCUGUACAAAUGGAAUACGAUUAUGCAGUAUCUGGGGCUAGACCCAGCCUUGCCGGAAGUCCACCUCCACCCCUUAAAGGAGGUAGGCGAACCGUUGGGGCAAAUCCUCAUAUUCCUUCCUUAUUGACUCGCAUAGAAAUCUGUUUUUUCAAGUUCCAAAGUCAAUGAUGUUAAGUCGAUAAUUGAUUUCAAAUGUUGAUGUUAGGUCUAACUUUCUGCAAUUAAUCAUUUAUAGUUCUUGCUAACUCUCUCUUUAAUAAUCUCUUAUAAUUUACGUUGUUUGUUAUCUCUGCACUAGAAGGACACCUCUUAUUUGGAAAUAAUCCUUUCAUUUACAUUUUUAGGUUUUCCCCCUAAUUAUGCCCUAUAAGGCACAUCAUUCUGUCAUAACCUAUUUGAUACUUUUAUCUUCCUUUUGGGAAUAUGACAUUUUCUUAUCAUCAAUCUUUGCUGAUAGUUCAAGAUAUCUUCUUAUUGCCAGGUUCUGCAGAAGAAUCAGAAUGCCUUAUUUCUCUCUACGUAUCAUGUUGCAGAAGAUGUUGAGACGAGCACCCAUAAACAAGAUAACUAAAUCCAGACACGUUUGCCAACCAUUUGUACAUACACCAAAGAAUGAUUGGUAGUUUCUUGUACCUUUCCUCAAUGCUUUUCCAUAGGCUAGAAAAAACUUUGAAACCUGAGAUGUUUUUACUGCCUUUAAGAACAGGCUGUAUCACUGUUAAAGCUGAUAUGCUUGUCCCCGUUGGUUGGCUUCGAAGAAUACGCUCCAUCUGCUUCCUGUGUAAAGAAUGUGGAUGAUGUUGGCUGUGUUAAAUUAUCAAUGAACCGUCUAACAACUAUUGAAGCUAAUUCCGCUUGUUAUUUAUUGUUUAGUUUGCAGAAUUGCAAAUAAUGUGGAAACUAGGAAACAUACUAAUAUUUUUACGUUAUUAUAACCUUGAAACAACUAAUCAUGGGUAAUUAAUUACACUGAAGUCCUUCAGGUUUGAGUCUAAUUCAUCAUAAGGACACUAUGGUGAUCUUUUUCUGAGUUAUUCCGAAGGUACGCUUUUAUUCUCCUACUAAUACCCUUCUUCCUCUACAAUCAAUCACCAGACACAACACCUGUCUCUGGAAGAAGAAAAGAUAACAAUUCCUCUGGUUUCUACAAGCCUUUUUUCCAUGAUGAUAAUGUUCUCCGUCUCCUUUUGAUGAUGGUUCUGAGAUUUCAAGUGUUUAUUGGCCUGGCAAGCAGGGAGGUCCGCAUACAAACGUAGGAUCCAAAAUUUGUCUCAAGAGUUGGAAGUAUUUAUUUCUCUGUUUUUAGCUCUAUAUGUAUAACCUGAAUAAAUAUCAUCGUAUUAUAUUUUAUUUAUCUAUUUUAUGAUUCCUCGCUUGAGGACGGCCUUCUUUUCCCAUCGUAGCUGAUCUAAAAUUGUCAGGUGUUGGGUCAAGAUAAAGCACAAACGAAGCAAACUUAAGAGCCUAUGGGCUCAGAUAACGGGGUUUUUCCCCUGCUUUGUCUUUUUUGGGCUCAAAUUCCAGUCCAAAUUGAUUCCUCUGUAUCGAUGUCAUGAAGACAGAAGACCGCUGAAAAUUUUUUUUUAUGUAUAAUAUAUUUUUUUAUUUAUAUAGAAAUAUAUUAACCACCAAAAAAUGAAGCAUGUUUAUUGCUACAAUCAUAAAUUUAUUCUAGUGAAAUUCAAAUAAUAAAUCAACAGAUAAUAUUUUAGGAUCACAUGCAGUGCUGCCAUUCUUGAAAUUUUCUUGGGUUCACAUUACAAAUUCAAAUUUUCAAAGCCGUGGGAAUAAUAUUCGUAAAGGUGUUUCUCCGUUGCAAAUUAAAAAUUAAUUAUGAGGAGAAUACAGAGAAAAAAAGGAAAAAAAAAAAGACUUGUAUAAAUUGAAGGUUGUUAAGUUUUUAACUUUCGGUUUGGACUUUCUUUCUCCUAAAAAACCUAAAAUCCUUCGGUCUAAAACCGUGCAUUUGAUAGACAUUUUGGCAACAUCCAGGAAAGCACCUGAGUCUUCUUUAUUAAUUACUUUUGCAUUUUGUGACUCCAUUAACUUAAUAAAAUAUUGUAGUCGGCCGCCUUGGAAUUAAAGCUUUGAACUCUAUAGUCUCUCCGUUUACAUUCACUCACAUGAAACUUGUACACACCUCUCUGCCUUAAAAGUUGCCAAGCCUUUACCUGUCUUCAAUAUGUCUUCACAAUAUUUUUCAUGGCCACACCAUUGAUCCUACUAGUAUUGUUUUUGUCUCUAUGUUGCCCACCUUCAUCUUCAUCCUCUGAUAGUCUAGGGUCGGGCUCAUCUUUAUCGGUGGAGACUGCAGCUGAUAUCUUGACUUCACCUGAUGGCACUUUCAGUGCUGGUUUCCACCUUGUUGGCCAGAAUGCUUAUUCCUUUGCGAUAUGGUUCAAUAAACCAUCCUGUGGUGCCAACACUUGCACCAUAGUUUGGAUGGCAAAUCGGGACCAACCAAUCAAUGGUAGAUCCUCAAAGCUCUGUCUACUGGAAUCGGGUAAUCUUGUUUUAAUAGAUGCUGGUCAAAUCACUGUUUGGGAAACGAAAACAGUUUCGCAGUCCCCUACCUAUUUGAAGCUUGAAGAUGGUGGUAAUCUUGUCUUGCGUAACUUGGAAGGCCUUAUAUUGUGGCAAAGCUACGAUUCACCCACGGAUACUCUGCUUCCUCUUCAAUCAUUCAAUGAGAACACAAAGCUCAUCUCAUCAAGUAGCCAAGGAAACUUCUCCUCGGGCUAUUUUCAGUUUUAUUUUGACACUGAUAAUGUUCUCUGCCUUAUGUACAAAGGCCCUGAGUUCUCAAGCGUUUACUGGCCAAGUCCUUGGCUUUUGAGAUGGGAUGCUGGAAGGUCCACGUUCAAUAAUAGUAAACUUGCAGUUUUGGAUUCAUUGGGAAAGUUCAGUUCAACCGAUAAAUUUACUUUCUUGUCAGCUGAUUAUGGCUCAAAGAUUUCGAGAAUGUUGAAGAUGGAUUUUGAUGGCAAUAUUCGAUUGUAUAGUCUAAAAGAGGAUGGAGAAACUUGGGUUGUUUCAUGGCAAGCCUUCAAUCAACCAUGCAUGGUUCACGGAUGUUGUGGACCAAACAGCAUAUGCAUUUAUAUUCCUAAUUUUGGCAGGAAAUGUUCUUGCCUUCCAGGGUAUAAGAUGAAGAAUCAUACUGACUGGUCUCUUGGCUGUGAACCAGAAUUUCAUCUUUCUUGUAACAAAACUGAGGUUGGUUUCCUGAAACUCCGCCAUGUUGAUUUCUUUGGCUAUGAUUUGGGAUUGUAUACUAAUGUCACCUUAGAGCGUUGCGAGAAAAUAUGCUCCCAGUCGUGCGAUUGCAAAGGUUUUCUUUUCAGAUUUAUUAAACCCCCUGAACCAGAUGGUACAUACUGUUAUCCCAAGAUACAAUUGUUGACUGGAUAUCGCCAACAAAAUUUUGCUGGUGAUUUCUACGUGAAAGUGCCCAAGGCCACUGUCUCCUUUUACGGUAACAGUGGUCAAGAUUCCAAGUUACAAUGUUCUAACAAAGUUCAGCGGCUCGAACGAAAAUAUUCCCAAAGGCAUGAAAAUGAGUCAUUGAAAUCUGCCCUUUGGGCUGCCUGUGCAGUUGGAGCACUCGAGUUUCUUACCAUUUUCUUGGUAUGGUGUUUCUUGACUAGAACCCGCGACAAUUCAAGCCCAACCUUAGGCUACCUUCUCGCUACAACUGGCUUCAGAAAAUUCACCUAUGCUGAGCUGAAAAAGGCUACAAAUAGUUUCUCAGAAGAGAUUGGAAGAGGUGCAGGUGGAAUCGUAUACAAAGCCACACUUUCCGAUGGCCGAGUU